ensembl:lncRNA
AUGAAGCUAUGGAUAGCUUUUCCCCCCAGUAUGUUACGAUUAAAAAGAAAAUGGAAAUUAAAAGAAAACUUGAGCGAUAAUAGUUUCUGCAGGAUUCUGACUCCCAGCCAGAAUAACUCAAAAGGUCUCUGCUUUCAGCAACAGAGUCUACUGCCAACUCCUGUAUCCACAUCUGCAAAAUCAAGGGUGUAAGGAGUAGAAUCCUGGCACUUAACAAAUGUCCCAGAAUUCUUUAGAUUUCUCAAGUUAAGAAAAUCCCACCUGAGUCAAAAGGUACACAUUUCCAGU